AUCCAACCUGCCGAUAACUCGGGGAUAGCCUUUCGAAAGAAAGAUUAAUACCCGAUGGUAUAAUCAGACCGCAUGGUCUUGUUAUUAAAGAAUUUCGGUUAUCGAUGGGGAUGCGUUCCAUUAGGCAGUUGGUGAGGUAACGGCUCACCAAACCUUCGAUGGAUAGGGGUUCUGAGAGGAAGGUCCCCCACAUUGGAACUGAGACACGGUCCAA
rnacentral:rRNA from 1 species